AGGACGAACGCUGGCGGCGUGCUUAACACAUGCAAGUCGAGCGGAAAGGCCCUUCGGGGUACUCGAGCGGCGAACGGGUGAGUAACACGUGAGUAACCUGCCCUGGACUUUGGGAUAACCCUCGGAAACGGGGGCUAAUACCGAAUACGACCUUCAACCGCAUGGUUUGUUGGUGGAAAGUUUUUCGGUCUGGGAUGGUCUCGCGGCCUAUCAGCUUGUUGGUGGGGUAAUGGCCUACCAAGGCGACGACGGGUAGCC
rnacentral:rRNA from 1 species